AACUUUUAACAACGGAUCUCUUGGUUCUGGCAUCGAUGAAGAACGCAGCGAAAUGCGAUAAGUAAUG
rfam:Colletotrichum chlorophyti strain NTL11 CCHL11_C50509, whole genome shotgun sequence.